UUGUGAAAACAGGAACUUUUGCUUGUGGAAGUGGAUUUUUUCUUGUGAAGUUUAUGAAGUAGACAUUUAUUUGUGUGUGUGCUGCAUGCUGGGGGUUCAUUAAUGUGUUGAUGUUGGCGAUGAGGAACCAGCCAGGCAAAACCAAGAGAAUGUGAGGAAGCAGAUGCCACUGGAAGGCAGAGAAGGGAGAGAAGCUGGAGCUCUGAGGGAUGAAGGAACCAGCACAGGCAGCGAGCCCUGGAAUGAGGUUCAAAGAGGGGAAAAUGCAGGCAUCCUGGCUGCUCUCCACCCAACCCAGCCUCAGGAGAAGAUGGUCUCAGAAGCCGUAGUGCCCAGAGCAGAGGCUGAGGCUAAACCAGGAAGUGUUCCUUUUGAGCUGCCUGCAGUCAGUCCUCGGAGAUGGCCCACCACGCACCAGCCAGUCAGUCAACAAACACUUACUCUAUUUACUGAACACCAACCAAGCUCAGCCCAGCACCGAGUGCUUGCUGAGAAUUUUAAAAUACUGUCUUUCUGAAACUAAUGAUUUGCUCUA